UUUACUAGUUUGGAAGUAGGCGUGGCAAAACGUGCAAAAGUUACAAAUGCUGUCGAAAAAAAAUAUAGCUCCUUAUAGUCUCUGAGGCUCAGUAUUUCACACGGACGGAUAGAUAAACAGACGGCCACGGAUUUAUUGUCUCGGUGGUUGACGCUGGCCAAGAAUAGAAAUACUUUAUGGGGCCUUCGUCUGCAUCAAACACACCUUUUUGUACUGCCUGAAAACUGUCAUUCGUGAUAUAUUGUGUGUGAUGCACGACUUGAGUAUUAGGCAAAAGACUUUUAUCAAGAUUUAGCUUAUGCACAGCAUAUUGGAAUACCAUUUCCGGAUAGUUGAAGUUUUGCUCCGCCUCUUGUGGAAAUAUUGCACCUAAAACGGAAAUUAAAUAUACAAAAUUAUUAAUGAACAAAGUCAAGUGUUGGACGCUAUAUAUAAAUUCGGGGCUAUUCAUAGCUUUAAAAAAAAUUGCUAUUCAAUCGCGUUUUUACCACGCAACCCCAUAUACAAAAAAAGAUCGAUCGAUAGCUUAAAGAACGAAAUGUUUGGUAUUUUAAGAACCACUGUGAUGGUCACUUCGUAUUUAAGAAACUGACUGGAAAGUACGCCUUCUUGUUCGCAUUGUAUAUGAUGUAGUAGCGCAGGGUAUCCAAACAGUUUGGUUUUUCCCCGAUGAAUUAAAACACAUUUUCGUUUUAUUUUAUAUAUAAUAAAACCACGGUUUAUUGUGAAAAAUCGCACAUGUUUUGGUUAGAAUUAACCUCUCGUAAAGAGAAUAUGAUCGCAACUAAUGCUGCUGACAUUUCAGUCAGCUAGCGCCGAUCCCUGCCUGUUUACCGAGUGCAGCAUACUGCUUGCUACAUGCAAGCUUUAGAAGGCGCAAUCCGUACAACCGAUGAUGGCGCGUCGGCUCGAGGAUCACCUCAAAGGUAAAGGUUGUUACGGACUGGUUGUCUUCCCUGGGGCCGCGCCGGCUGGCUAAUCGGUACUCAGGUGGAGUUCCAUCCCUGGCCCGCAGUCCGCACAAUCGAUAACUUCACCGAUAUUAACAGCUGUUUAUAACAGAAGAAACGCAUCACUAACAGAAAAACAAAACAGCUGCCGCGCAAUUGAAAAUUACGCAAAAACAAAAGGAAAUCCAAAAGAAACUAUUGACGACGGGCCCAGUUGGACCCCGGCGUACCCACCCUGCCUGAGAUGACCACAUCGGCGCCAUCUCCCUUGCGUUGGCCACUAUAUCAGUGGCUGCUCUUCAUCCGGCGUAGUGCUGUGGAAUUCCCCUCCUCUCCAUGCUGAGAACUCACACAACCAUGUUCAACAUAUCAUACAAAUAUUUGGACAAAAUGGCAAAGGAGCAAGAUCACGCAGUAGGACGAGCGAAACCAACAUGUAGCCGCAACGGCGUAAAGGACAACUUCUCUUAUAUGUAACACAUCCGGGCGUACCAAGAGUUCAUUUGGUGGAAGAAGUACCUGACCACCUUCCAAAUGUUGCAAUUCGUGGCCAUCUUUAAGCAUCAGUUCCAGGUGCUGUUCCGCGAAUGCGAUUACCCCAAGGGAUUCAUGGCGUGAUGUUCCUGCUCCUCUUCUCCGAUUUCUACAAAGCUACAUACGUGAAUGCCCUGUCGUCAGUGACGACGCGACGACCAACCGGAACCGACUCGAUCUUGAACUCCAGCACGGCCACGUUCCCGCUCGCCGUACCCCCAUCGAACGACCUCACCUCCCUGGUGCACGGCACUGAUGUGUGACCUUGUCACACGCGCAGUCACACUGAUCUAGUUUCUCCUCAUGUUGGUCACCCUGACCACUUUUAGUACUUUUUUCUAAUAACAUAUGUUCAACAUUCGCUGACCGGCACAACAAGUGUAUUUUCAAGUGCAAUAAAAGUCAUUGUACAAGUUACAAAUUCUACUAAUACAAAAAGUGAGUGUUAUUAUUAUCUGGAAGACGUCCCCCCUACACACUUUUGUAUAGGCAAAAACGCAUAUUUACUAGGGCUAGUUGCUUUGGCCGACAAUCUGGU